AAUGGCAGCAGCCACAAGCUUGCCACCAGACCCGACUCUCCUGACGAACCCGUGGAACACCUGUAACCUUCAAUAACCCGUUUUUCUCUCCAUUAUAAUGAGAAGGGGCCUAUUGAUUGAUUCCAAAGAUAAGGAAGGGAUUAAAGCGGUGACGCCAUUCUCCUGGUCCGUUUCGGCUUUGACUGCACAGUGAAAAGUCCUGGUUUCCUUAGCUCUGCACAGAAGAGAACUGACCCAGAGGAAACAGUUCCAACUUUUUCAACAACCCAGAGGAUGAAUGUAGAAGAAAUUGGUCUGGGAAUGAGUGAAGAACAACUGGAAGAAAAAGAAGAAAGGCUGAUCUGGCGCACGGAGAGAAAGGGUGAUGGCUUCGCAGUUCCCCGCUCUGAGAAGAAAGUCAGCUCCGUGAAGGCAGCCACUAAGCAGCCCCUUCAUUUCCUUAGCUCUCCAAGAGUACAGAUAACGCAGCACAUUAAUCAGAAUCAGCAAGCAUACUUUAAAGUAACCAAUUUUCUCUGAGAGCUGACCUAACAUAAACAUCUCAGCUAUCAUCGAGAGGUUCCGGAGCUGUUAUCGCCAGCAGCUAGUUUCAAUUUAACUAAAGUAUUGAGAUACAUUAUGCUUAUGCCGAUGUGCUCGGCUCUGCUGCAGAGGCUGAGGACAACCCUGUCCAAGCCUUCCCUUGAACUCUGUUAUCCUUAAACUGUCUGCCUCGGGGCUCCCCAACUCUCACAACCUCUCAUUGAGAGAGUGCAGUCACCAAAGGACCACUCAUCCCUUGGUGGGGGGCAAUGGUGGAUAACUGUUCUAAUGUUUUGGGAGGAGAGCCCCUCUUGAGAAAAUCUUUACCAAUUUUCAAUUUUCAUCAAUUAAAGUGCGUUCCUCAAG
ensembl:processed_transcript 4930511M06Rik RIKEN cDNA 4930511M06 gene